rnacentral:rRNA from 1 species
GUCACAGGUGGAUAAGAGACAAGCCCCCCUCAGGAUGAGAUUUCCCAACUUCGGUUAUAAGAGCCCUCAAAGAUGAUGAGGUGAAUAGGUGCGAGGUGGAAGCGUGGCGACACGUGGAGCUGACGAAUACUAAUCGCUCGAAGCCAUAAUCAA